rnacentral:rRNA from 1 species
GAUGAACGCUGGCGGCGUGCCUAAUACAUGCAAGUCGAGCGAACGGACGAGAAGCUUGCUUCUCUGAUGUUAGCGACGGACGGGUGAGUAACACGUGGAUAACCUACCUAUAAGACUGGGAUAACUUCGGGAAACCGGAGCUAAUACCGGAUGAUAUUUUGAACCGCAUGGUUCAAAAGUGAAAGACGGUCUUGCUGUCACUUAUAGAUGGAUCCGCGCUGCAUUAGCUAGUUGGUAAGGUAACGGCUUACCAAGGCAACGAUGCAUAGCCGACCUGAGAGGGUGAUCGGCCACACUGGAACUGAGACACGGUCCAGACUCCUACGGGAGGCAGCAGUAGGGAAUCUUCCGCAAUGGGCGAAAGCCUGACGGAGCAACGCCGCGUGAGUGAUGAAGGUCUUCGGAUCGUAAAACUCUGUUAUUAGGGAAGAACAUAUGUGUAAGUAACUGUGCACAUCUUGACGGUACCUAAUCAGAAAGCCACGGCUAACUACGUG